rnacentral:piRNA from 1 species
UACUGGAAGCCAGUGUAUGGUGAUGAC